rnacentral:lncRNA from 1 species
AUCAUUCUCACUGCUUCUGAUUAGAGAGUUUGGGGCUUUGUUGUAUCUUAAAAGCAUAAUUACCUUUAAGAAAGUGUUCUUCACGCCUCAAAGCUAAAAUUUUUUUUUAUUAUUUCUCUUCUCUUAUUUAUUUUUCUAACAAUUUAAAGGUAAUUAUGAUAAAUUUAUAUUUCGCAUAAAAAAGAUACAAAAAAAAAAUUAUCAUGAUUUGAAUAUCAAUAUUAGAGAAAGCUCAAGGUAUCAAAAGAUUAAUGUUUAUAUGGAUCAAAAUAUUAAUUUUUAUAAAUAUCUUCAUUAGAGGCGUGCGCUGGUGCAAGCAAUUUCGUAGGUUGAUCACGAGGAAUAACUCGAGAUAGGAAAGCAUCAAGCAAGAAAAGGCUUAUUUACUAAAUAAUGCCACUUUUCAUAAGCAAUUAAAGGGCUACGAUUUUUGCGGGUAAUCCUAAGUCAAAUCAACAGGAACAGAGACAAGCCUAUUUAGAUGAGGUCUCAGGGACGUCCAUAAGCCUUGCGCUCCGCAUAAAAAAAGUUUCUUGCAUUUGUCGAUAGCAUCACAGCUUGUUGACGGGAUCAAAUAAGGUCUGCAUUGCGUUGCUUGGGGGUGCUGAGUAUUCAAUUGGAAUCCACUCCACCAUUCUUUGACUCAAGCUCUAACCUAUGUUUCCACCCCAGCUGGUAAAAGAAGAAAAGAAUAGGAAAGGCCUAAACACACAUAUUCAAGUCGAAAAUAGGCUCCAGGCUAGGAUAACAUGUUGGCUUCAUUGGCUUAAAUUCAACAAUUUUCGAGGAGGUCUAUCAUAAAGUUAAAAGGCAAUCAGGACUGAGAACACCUGCUAGAGCUCAAAAUAUGCGCUUUGUUAGGAAUUUGUUUAUUGGAACAAGUCGUUCCAUUGUCUCUGAGUCAAGUUCUAUCCCCGAAUGGUCUGUUGAUCCGACGCAACCGACCAGUGACGUAAUAUACGAAUCUUUAGUUCUGAUGAGACUCCCUAAUUUGAUGUCUUUUUGGUGGUGCUAUUCCCCUAUCUCUCGAUUUUUUACAAAAGCGUGCGAUUGGCUCAAUCUCGAUUGAUUUGAAGUUCAAAUCGUAAUGCCAGCUCGAACUUCAAUCAUAUAUCUAUCUCUAAGCAGGACUAGUCCUUUCUCUAUCGGUCUUGGCAUGGAAUAGAGUCAAGUCGGGAGAAGGAAAGUAAGAUUCAUAGCUUUCUUACAUCGCCGGCUUAAGGAAAUCAGUUAAAUCAUCGAAAUUCAGUGAAAGUGGAAGCAGCAGCGGAACCAAUCCGGAACCAGAUACUAGUAAGAGCAACCGUAAUUUGAGGGCCAACAUAGGACCAGGGGGAAGGCUCAGGAGUACCAGAAGGAGCAAAGAAUCAAGCCAGAGGAAGAGAUAUAAUAGACAAGGGAACGGAUCCCUAGAAGAGGGAGUACGCUCAAGGCAGUGAAAUGGAAAGAUUCUCUCCGUGAAUCAAUAGUCAAUCUGAGUAAGGCCUUAGCCACAAUAGCUGUAAAUGCUUUGUUCUGACGUUGAAGAGGAUCAUCAGUUGAUGCGGAAGAAGCGAUCAAAGCAUGCUUUUGCCCAGAAAUAAAAGAAGUUCACGCAUUGGCAAACAUACUUCCAAAGAGUAGGAAAGGGAAUGUCUUUGUUGAAUCAACAUUUGAUAAGUAACCAAGCAGAAAAUACGGAGACGAAAA